ACUCCUACGGGAGGCAGCAGUGGGGAAUUUUGGACAAUGGGGGCAACCCUGAUCCAGCAAUCCCGCGUGUGUGAAGAAGGCCUUCGGGUUGUAAGAGCACUUUUGUCCGGAAAGAAAACUGCGCGUGGUUAAUACCUCGUGGCAGAUGAC
rnacentral:rRNA from 1 species